rnacentral:lncRNA from 1 species
UUCUUUUGCUCAUUACCGUGAUUUAAUUUGUAAGGACAGAUAAAAAUUCAUUCCCUAAUUCUUUAUUGUGGAUUACAUGAUCUUUAGUGAAAGAAGAACAAGAUAUUGGGUCUGUUUUGUCUCUAAUCAACCGGCUACACAAUGACCAAUCGUGUAAGUUGUCCUGUCUCAUUGUUAUCUCUUAUCAAACAGCUUCUUAUCGAGAAUAUAUGGAGCUUCUUUUGCGAUGUUUGCGUGAACAAGAAUAUUGUUGUUUGUUCUCAUCAUGAGUUAAACACAAGUGUUUGUAACAAUCCAAAGAUUUUGAUGUUUGCGUGAACAAGAAUAUUGUUGUUUGUUCUCAUCUUUUGCGAUGUCUGCGUGAACAAAGAAUAUUGAUGUUUGUUUUUAUACUCUGUUUUCGCUCUGUUCGGUCUUGAUAUUGAAAUCAGAAGUAUGUUCGGCCUGUUGUUUCUUAAUGUCCUUAUCAUAUAAACUCAAGUGAUUUUAGUCAUCUAUUUUCUAAAACUUUUUCUUUAUAAUGACAUGUGGUGAGUGGGGGAUUGUAUUAUGAUCAAGGAGGAGAACGAUAUGAGAAUGCAAAGGACACUUCACACUUGCAUUCCGAUCUAUAAGGCAAAGGACCUCAGGUUAGUCUCCUGUUCUAUUUUUUUUUUAUGUCGUCUCCAGUUCUUAUGAUAAGAGCUGAUAGAAUUUAGAUACUUGGUUACUAGUACAUAGAUCUCUUUGUUUCUUGUGUUGUUGUGUUCUUGUGUUCUUAUAGCUGAUAGAAUUUAGGUAAUAGGUUACUAGUACAUAGAUCUUUUUGUUUCUUGUGUUGUUGUGUUCUUCUGUUCUUAUAGCUGAUAGAAUUUAGGUAAUAGGUUACUACUUACUAGUACUUGAUCGUCUAUGCGUGGAUGGUUGCUUGUUCUUGAUCGUCUCUUACAUAUGAUAUGGUUGCUUGCUCUUGAUUGUUUAGUUUGAUAGUUUGAUAGGACUUGAGUAUGAGACUUGAUCUUUACGUCUGAUAGUUUAGAUAAUAAAAAUUUCUUAUAAUGGUUGAGUCUCUGACCAAUGAGAAAUAAGAGAAUAGUUGCUAUAAUUUUUAAAAUUGCAAAAAAAUAGAAACAGAACCCUAAACAAUAUUACCUAAACUCACGACCUAAGCAAAAAAAAAAACGACGCAGAAACCUAAACUCUAUCUCUAAGUCUCUAACGAAGAAGAGAGAAAGAGAUGACAGAUGAUGGUUCAAGUUUCGAUCCAAAUUUCACACCGUUGAAUACAAUGGAUUUUGAGAGCCAGCGAGUCCUUGGAGUUAUUUUGGCAGCUGAUGAGGCUGAUGAUGGUUCAUCUGAUGGAGCAAAAAAGAAGCAAAGAAAGAAGAGAAGGCUUAUUCAAGCUGAUGAUGAUGAAGAUGAUAGUGAUGUUGAAAUCACUCCUCCACCAAUACAAGCUACUACUCUGCGCAAACAAGCCACCUGCGGAACCGUGCGAGCCUUGAAAUCAAAGAAACCAAUGUUGCAGUCUACUCUAGACGGUGGCAUUGGAUCGUCUUCGUCUCCUAAGGCGAGUAAAAGGAAAACCAAAACCAAAUCUAUUCACUUUACCAUCCGUGGGGGGAGAAAAAGCUCCAGGCCGACACAAGGUAAUGGCAAGAAUAAGAAGAAGAUUCAAGAGGAGCAGCUUGAUUCUGAAGGUGAAUUUGAAGAGGACGAGAUGGAGAACGAGAUGGAGAACGAGAAGGAGGGUAGGCAGUGGUCUGAUGUAUGGCCCCAUUUUACUAAGAUUCGAAAUUCCAAUGGUGAGCAGAAAGCUAAAUGCAAUUAUUGUAAGAAUGACUAUGCAUGGACUUCCCACGGGCAUGGAACAAGUGGUUUGAGAAGGCAUCGUGACAGAUGCAAACUCUUUCCAAGGAAUCUCCGAACAAAAAAACUUGAUGCUGAAGCCAAAUUAGUAUAUGGCAAGUAUGAUCAUGUUGUGUUCAAGCAGCUGGUAACCAAGACUAUAAUCCAGCAUGACCUACCUUACUCAUAUGUUGAGUAUGAGCAAGUCAGAGAAACUUGGAAGCACUUGAAUCCUGACGUCAAAUUCUUUUGUCGGAACACAGCUAAAGCAGAGGUCUAUCGGUUUUAUGAAAACGAGAGAGAGACAUUGAAGAGGGAAUUGGCUAGUCUUCCAGGAAGAGUAAGCUUCACUUCUGAUUUGUGGUCAUCACUGAAACGGGAGGGUUAUAUGUGUCUGACAGCACAUUACAUUGACCGAAAUUGGAGGCUAAACAGUAAAAUACUGACUUUUUGUGCUCUCCCACCGCCUCACACAGGUAUGAAUGUUGCUUUAAAGCUUCUUGAAUCUGUGGAAGAGUGGGGACUAGAGAAAAAAAUGUUCUCUCUCACAUUAGACAAUGCUACAAGUAAUGAUUCGAUGCAAGAUAUAGUGAAAACUCAGGUGCUUUUGAGCAAUGAUUUGUUGUGUGGAGGUGAGUUUUUUCACGUCAGAUGUGCAGCUCACAUACUCAACCUCAUUGUGCAAGAUGGUUUGAAGGUUAUUAAAGACUCUUUGCACAAAGUUAGAGAGAGUGUUAAGUAUGUAACAGCGUCAGAAACGCGUGAGAUGACGUUUGCAAAAUGCGUGGAUGCUGCUGGUAUAAAGGAGAAUGCUGGUUUGAUAAUGGAUGUGCAGACAAGAUGGAACUCGACAUUCUAUAUGCUUGAAAGAGCCCUUCCGUACCGUGAAGCGUUUGUUAAGUUGGAGAUAUAUGAUAGGAGAAACUAUAAGUUUUUGCCUACAGCUACAGAAUGGAGCAGAGCUGCGAAAAUAUGUGUUUUCUUGGAGCCUUUUGCUAAGAUUACUAGUUUGAUGUCAGGUUCGAAAUACCCAACAUCGAACUUGUAUUUCUAUCAGGUAUGGAAGAUCCAUAAUUGGCUGCAGAUAAAUGAGGAAAGCGAUGAUGAGAUUAUCCGAGAGAUGGUGAUACCGAUGAAAGAGAAGUUCGAUAAGUACUGGGAAGAAGUCAGUGAUCUUUUUGCAAUGACAGCUGUCUUUGAUCCACGCUUGAAGCUUCCAGUUGUAGAGUAUUGUUUAGGGAGACUUGACAUGAGUACACGUGAUGCGAAAAUGAAGAACUUGCGUCUGAAGCUGGAAACUUUGUUUCAAUCAUACGACAAAAAAUCAAAGUCAACAUCACCUUCUGCAGAGCCUCGUGAGAUGGAUCAACAAAAUGUUCAUGGAGGACCGAAAGGAACAUUUGAGAACUAUGGUGUAAGUCUCCUGUUUCGUUUUUUUUUUUUUUAAAUUACUUAUGAACCUGCGGUAGAUAUAGAUAGCUUUGAAAGUUUUGAUAUUCCAUCAAAUUGUUUUUAAAUUUUUUUUUAAACACUACAGGAUUUUUUUGCGUUUCGCAAAAGUAGUGUUGCUGCGAGUGGAAAGACAGCUCUCCAAGCUUAUUUGGAUGAACCUGCACUAGAUAUGGAUAGCUUUGAAAGUUUGGAUAUUCUCGACUGGUGGAAAGAUAAUACUCACAGGUUUGGUGAUUUGCCAGCAAUGGCUUGUGAUCUGCUUAGCAUUCCGAUCACAACAGUGGCUUCAGAAUCCUCCUUUAGCAUCGGUUCGAGAGUUCUGAACAAAUACAGGAGCCGUCUACUUCCCAAAAAUGUGCAGGCUCUGAUAUGUAGUAGGAAUUGGAUAAAAGGAUUCGAAGCUUAUGAACAUGGUAAAUUAUUCACUUUGUUAUAUAUUUUAGGGUGUCAUGUUCUUUAAAUUUAAUUAACUUCGAUUUUUAAUAUCUACAGAAGAUGAAAUGGAUGGUGAAGAAGAGAUAGUUGAAGUUGAAGAAGAAGAAACUUGAUUUUUAUUUUGAUCUGGUGUUUUUUCUUUAUUCGCAUUAUGGAUUUUGUGGCGCUCUUUUUCCCUUGUCGGGUUUUGUCCCAAUGGGUUUUCUCGAUAAGGUUUUUACCGAGGCCACGUUACAUUGUUUGGAUUUUGUUUGGGUGUUCAUUUACAUUACUUGGAUAUGAUUACUUAGAUUUGGUGUUGUUACUUAAUGUCAUUCUUAUGCAUACACAUCAGUGCAUACGCAUCAAAGAUUAUUUCUGUUUUAGUUUCUUGUUGAUACUACAUGCCAUUCAACACAAGAAUAAUGUUUUCCCGAUAAGGUUCAAUAUGUUUGUAUUGAACACAAGAGUAAUGUUAUGUAAGAUACGUAGAGAUGAAACGUAUGAUAGAGGUUCAUAUACUUCUUUUGUUGAUCUGUAUGACUGUAUCGAGAAGCAUUGACUCAAAAGCUAUAGUUAAGCAUCAAAUGAGACGUUCAACUUCUGGAUGGUGACCCGCGGGCCUACCCGCAAAGACCUGUGCACUAGGCGGGGCGGGAUUGGACAUUGCUUCUCGAUACCGCAUCCCGCGGCGGGCCAGCCCGCUGUGACCCGACUGAACUUGAGCCCGUGGCGGGGCGGGCCAUUUGGUUGCGGGUGGGCUCGUUUGCCAUCUCUAACGAACGGCGUCCAAAAUUGUAGGGUGGCAUCGAAUCUGUACAUCAUUGUUAUUAACUUUCUCAUUGAGAUCUCUACCUUAUUUAUAAUUAAACACUAGGAUAGUACCCGCGCUUUGAAAGCGCGGAAUUAUUUUUGUUAACAAAUUUAUUAAUAUGUUUAAUUUGUUCAAUAAUAUGUUUAAGUGCAGUCAUCAUUUUUUUAUUCGCUUCCAAACUGUAUUUUUUGGUUUUCAAUUUGGUUUCGGUUUGGUUGUGGUUUUUGAUUUUUAUAUGAAAAAAUAUAGGAAUCAUUCAAUUAUCUAUAAAUUUGGGUUUAGUUAUUUUGGUUUUUGGAUUGGUUCAAAAAAACAAUUUUAGUAUCUGCGAUAAAAUUUUGAGCGUGUUAGUAUAAAAUUUAAAAUUUCUCUAGUAUGUAUUUAUGCAAUAUGAACAUGUCAUCUGCUUUCUGAAAUAGUAAGCCUUAAACUUUACUAUAACAGCUACUCUGAGUAAACACAUUACAUCUCGGUCUUGUUGUUUACAACAACUAUAGACAAACUUUUUAGAAUCAGUAAGAAUAAUCCUGAAAAUCCCAUCAAGCUCAUCUUGUAUCUCACAUGUAUUUCAUUGAUUCAAACUCUUCUCAACAUCUUCCCCAUGUACACGCAAUUCUAUUCAUAUGAAAAACUGUUUUUAGUAUGACCAAAUAUACCAAAGCAUACAAAUCUUGACAUUUUUUACCUUCCAAGCAUAGUCAAAGUAGCUUGUGGAUUAGUCUGUGGAGAGAUAUUGAAAGUUGGAGCUCUGAUGAAAAUAGAUCAUAACAGUGACGCAAAGGAGAUAACACUGGAAGUAGCCUUCAGAAAGCACCUUAGCCCAGUUUUAUUUCAUCUUUGUGUUUUGGAUCUUCUUGCGCAUAACCAUUGCAUGGAUGUCUGAAGAUCAUCUUGCGACAUGCCAUCUUCCAUUUUCAGUCUCCUACAUCAAUCUAUCAUUUAGAAAAAAAUGCAGACAACUUUUUGUUAUUGUAAAUUAGAGUUUGUGUAAGCAGAAAGCAACCUGUAUAAUAAUAGAGUAUGGUGGUGCUUGACACUGAUAUCCUAACCUGCAACAUUGGAAACCAAUACAAUCAUUUAUAUAUAUAUACUCGUUCUAUAAACUCACAGAUGAUAGUGUUGCAUAUAGCAUACCUGAUGAUUUUCUUUCGAGCUUGGGAAGAAACUUCUUCCCAGUAGCUGAAAGAGAAGGUCCCCCAUCUCAUUGUCUGUCACCAAUAAACACUUGCAACUUUGAAACAUAUUCAUGGGAAUUUCCUCAUCCUCUGAAUCAAAGUCAGCAAGAACAUAGAAAAAAGAUUGGCUUCGAUAAAACAAAAUCAUAUUAUUAAAACAUUGACUCAAGAACUGGAACUCAAUUCCAAAAAAAAAGAAAAAAGAAAGAUCAUAACCGGAACUCACCAGAGUUAAACUGCCCAUCCAUAGACACCGGUGGUUUAGCACUCGUGGGAGAUCUAAAAUUCUUGCUCGAACAUGAGAUUAAGAGAAACUCGAGGAAUAUUCUUAAAGAGGUUUCCGAGGAGAAGCUUUUGCAUAUUAUCACCACCAACCUUCACAAAUAUCUGAACAAUCUUAUUCUCCCACUUUCUCGCCUCAUCAAGUAUAAUCUGAGACAGAACACGCCACAUCGAUCAACACAUAUCAUUGAUACAUAACACACUACCUACAUAAGCACAUAUGUUAAACAAAAGUUCACAGACUAUAAUGUUUUGAAACUGAACAGGCUAUUCAGUAUUCACUUAUCACCAAACCCAAAGCCCAAUUCUAACAAAAGACAAUGCUUAGAGAGAGGUUUCAAUACAGAGAAAAGCAAUACAUGCAUGAGCAAUAAGGAAAAGUAAAGUCGUAUCUACAUUUAAAUCUCACAACAAAAAGAAUUAUAAAACGAUACUCAUGGCAGGAACAGUCAAAAGAAGAGGCCACACAGGUGUUGGAUAGAAGUUAUAAAAGGUUAUUUCCAGAAAUACAUCUCAAACUUCCACAGGUGGCGGCUUGAAGAUGAAGAAUACAUUAGGGUUUAGGAAUUGUUUGAAAAUAAGUUAGGAUGAAUCCGAUUUUUUUUUAAGAUUAUAUGUUAAUCUAAAUAUAAAUCUAAAUAUAAAUCUAAAUACAUUGGUGAUCAUAUAAGAUAGUUAAGUAGCGUGUCUUUUAAUUAUAUUAAGUCACAACAUUUUCAAUAGGUCUAAAAAAAAAUAUGCCAUGGUAAAUUUCAAAUAGGACUCUAAUUUAAUAGAUUAGAUGUGAAUGACAAUAUUCUAAAUUGAUAGUAAUAAUAAUCACUAAUCUGUACCACUAUAAUUGAUUACAUGAUAUUAAGUAUGCCAAUUUUUAUAAUUGUGAACUUCAUAUAUGUCAUGACAUUUUGUAUAUUUUCCAACUAUAACUACGAUUAGACAUAAAUACAUAUAUAUAAACUAAUUAGACAUAAAUACAUAUGAUAUUGCAGAGAAUCUCUAGGGCACCAUCUAUAUAUGAAAAGUAUGGCACUAACGUCGGCUACAUUCAUAACUGCAAUGGAAAAUCUUAUACCCGCCGUAACUUUUGUCAUUGGCGUAAUAGCAAGGUAAUACAAUAUAACAUCUAUAAAUUAAUAUUCGAUAAAUUAAUAAUCUCUAUAAAUUAAUAAAUUUUGCCGGACUCAAUUUAGACCGGUUAAAAAUUUGACAUGAAUCGAUAAAAUAACAAGAUAAUAUUUUUUAGAAAAUUCUAUGUAAAUAUAUGGUUCCAUUAAAAUUAUUCACAAUGAAUUAUCUUUAUAUUGUUUGUUUUAUAUUCACAAUAAAAUUAUCUUUAUAUUUUUAUAUUGUUUGUUUUAUAUUCACAAUGAAAUUAUCUUUAUAUUUUCUAACACUUAAUAUAUUUUCGAUGAGAUUUAGUAAUAUUAUAUCUAAAACCACAUUUAAGUUAUACGCAAUAUAUAUUAUAUACACCGAAUAAUAUAAUAAAAUUAAUAUAAAUGUCAAAUUUCAAAGAAUAACAAUUAAUGUGUAUACACUAAAAUCAAAUGAUUUUCUUAUCUUAGAAUAAAGGUAUCUUAGAAUAAAAAAAACUAAAUAAGAAAACUUUUAUAAAUUAAUAUCUCUAUAAAUUAAUAAAAUUCUAAAGUCACAACAUUAUUAAUGUAUAGAGGUUCUACUGUAUAUAUAUAUAUGAUGUGUGUGUGUGUGUUUAUUUGUAUAACAUACGUACAUGUUAUAUCAAAGGUUGGAGAAAUUAGAACAGCAGUAGGAAAAACAAAAGUAUUCGGGACGUUAAUGGGAAUAGGUGGAGCGAUGCUGUUAACCUUUUACAAAGGCUUUUCUAUUGAUUUUUUGAAGUCUGACAUUAACCUUCUUUAGUAACAUAUACUAUACAUUAUUGUUAGGGUCUUGUGUGUAAGCUGAACGAUCUGGUCGGUCUAAGAUGUGCGGUUAUGAAAAGAGAAUAUAUAUAUAUAUACACAUCGAGUAAUGAAAGGACAUGUAUGAGUUGUUUUUGGCACACAAAUUUUUCAAUACAGGCAAAGAUGAGUGAAACAUUUCCAUGCCAUUACGCGAGUACAGGAUUGAUGAGCUUAAUGGCUUUCUUCCAAUCGACUAUAUAUGCAUUGUGUGUGGAGAGGGAUUGGACACAAUGGAAGCUCGGCUGGGACAUUAGGUUAUGGACCGUUGCAUAUUUGGUAUAUAUCCCAUUUCCAUUCUAUGACAUUUUUGGAAUAUAAUAUAUGCUAUCAAACCUCUUUAUAUUGAACUAACACUAUUACCAAACGAAUAAAUAUUGGAACUAAAACAACUAGGGAACAAUGGGGGUCCACUCUUCGUAGCCGUCUUUAACCCCCUCCUGCUCGUGAUUGUUGCGUUAGCUGGUAAUUUGUUCUUGGACGAAAAGCUUUACUUAGGAAGGUAAAAUGCAAUAUACAUUUAGGAAGGUAAAUGCAAUAUACAUUUUGGAAUUUAAUUAGACAUAUAUAUAUAGUAAAACGCAUAUACUAAUUAUAUUUUCAAAAUUUUAGUGUACUUGGAGCAAUCUUGAUUGUAUGCGGGCUAUAUGUUGUGUUAUGGGGAAAGCAUAAUGAGAUGAAGAAAAAGCUAAAUGGACUAGUUCCACUGGAGGAAAACGAAGUACAAAAAUCAGUUAGGACUAUUGUUGUCAGUGGUAACAACAGCAGCGGUUCUAUAGAAAUGAAAAUGAUGGAAAAUAGCACAAGUGGAAGAAAAGAAGUGGCGAUGGCGUCAUGUCAUUAAUUAAGUGGAUCACUUCUUAAACUUUUAACCCUUGUUCAAAAACUCGUCCACAGAUCGAGCCGAUUAUUCGGCCGAGUAUACGUGACGCAGUGGAUCACUUCUUAAAUUUUUAACCCUUGUUCAAAAACUCGUCCGCAGAGCCGAUUACUCGGCCGAGUUUACGUGAUGCAUAGGUGGAACGUGGUGAAUUGGGCAAAAUCGGAUGCUUUCUACACUUAGCCAUGCACUAAUGCUUGACUACGCUGAGCCGAGUACUCUCCGAAUUUUCUUCGUGCUUUUAAAUAAAUCGCUAGACCUGUAUGCACCGCAUGCGUAGCGCAUAGCGAGUUUCCGAACAAGGCUUUUAACUAAUGCUUGACUAUUUAGCUACUUUGUUAAGGGAAAUUGGAGCUAGAUGUUUUCAUCAAAUUGAUAUAUAUAUAUAUAUAUAUAUAAAGCUUUUUUUUUGAAAAUAUAAAGCUUUUUGCACAGUUAAAAAUCUACCAGUUAUAAAAGUAACAUUUAUAUUAGUGUACAGGACCCUUGAGUCAAGAGAAAUGAUGUUUUUACCAUUAAAAGGAAAAUUAUAUUUGUGCACAAACCCAAAACUUCUAAAUUUGGAUCAAUACCAAGUGUACAUGGCUUUACGAGUUGCUUAUUGACGCAGGAGCGUUUUCCUCUAUUUUGGAAUUUUCUUGUGAAUGAUGUUUACAAGGUUGGCUUUCUUUGGUCUACCUAAAAACGGUUCUGAAGGAGAAAACUUUGUCAAAACGUUGAAAUAAAAAUCCAAUGAAACUGUCAACUAUCCAAUAUUUUAGUUGAUUUAAAUAUAAAAUAUUAUUAAUAUAUAACAAAAAUAUUUUUUUAAUUAGAGAAUUUGUUGGUAGAUGCUCAUACCAUGAGAACAUGACCAUUUAAAUUUUCACUAAAAGAAGCUCACAAUAAUAGAAAAAAUUAAAUUAAAAUAAUUAUUUUAUUAGGUGGCAGAUAUUUUUAAAUAUUUCAAAUGAAAAUUUUCAUAUUGCAAAACAAUUAUUAAUAAAAUAAGAUUUUUAUUUAUAAGAUAUUUUGGUAAGAAAAAAAGUACAGUAGAAAUUAUAUAAAUUGAUACUCGAUAAAUUAAUAAAUAAUAUAAUAAAUAAAUUUCGUCAGUUUUGAAUUAAACCGGUUCAAAAUAUGACAAAAAUCGAUAAAAUAAUAUUUUUAAAAAGAUCAAAUGUAAAUAUUUAGUCCUAUUAAAAUCAUAAAUUAAUAACUUAGAUAUAUAAUUUAUAUAAGUAUAAAUAAUAUAUUGUAUUAAUUUUUAUAUUUAGAAUAUAUUUUAUUUCUGUUUUUAUCAAAAUUUAAUAAUAUUUUGAUUGUACCUAAUAAAGUUAUAUCUAAAAACACAUUUAAAUUGCAUGAGGAUUGAAUUUAUAAAUUUUAAUGAGUAUGUAAACAUGUGAAUCAAUUAUUUUUAUCAUGCAAAAAAAAUAUUUUUUAUAAAUUAAUAGCUCUAUAAAUUAAUACAAUUCUAUAGUUAUAACAUUAUUAAUUUAUAGAGUUCUUAUUGUAUUGUGUUCAGAUAAAACUGGACAAUCCAUACACGAACAUUUUGCUAAUUAAAUGAAACACACUAUAAAAAUGGAAGAUAAUCCAAAUCCAAAACUAGGCAUGGGCGUUUGGUGGUCCGUUGGGUUUCGGUUCGGGUGAUUCGGAUUUUUGGAUUUUCGGUGUUAUGCUCAUAAGUACCAUUCGGUUUUUACUAAUUAUCGGAUCGGGUUCGGUUCGGUUUCUUUAGAUUCGGUUCAGAUCGGAUUUAACCAAUCUUUAAAAUUGUAUAAAAAUAUAUUUUUAAAAACCUCGAAAAUUGACUAAAAAAAUUUCAAAAUAUAUAAAUUAUUUACAAAUAUAAUUAAAAAUUAGUUAAACUAUCUAAAUUUACUUAAAAGUAUUCAAAAUAACAAAUAAAACAAACUACAAAAAUAUUUUGAAUACUCUAAAAUAUCUAAAUCACCUUAAUAUAUAUAAAAAUAUUAACAUAUUUAAUUAAUUUUGGAUAUCUUUGAAUCCUAAUUCGGAUUUCGGUUCGGUUCAGGUUAUAACCAAAGUCCAAAAUAGUAAGCUCAUAAGUCCCAUUCGGAUAUUUUUGUAAAACAGUUCGGAUUCGGUUUCGGUUUUUCUGGUUCGGAUUAAGGUCGAUACUUCGGGUUGAGUUAAAAACGCCCACCCCUACCCAAAACUUCCAAAUUUUGAUCUUUACCAAGUGUACCAAGGCUUUUAUCUCUUUCGGAAUUCUCUCGUGUGGCAAGCCACGGAAGGGAACCAUAUAUAGAGCAUGCUUAGCACGUGUCAACAUCAACCCAAUAUGUCGCUUUUAUAAUCUUUUUAAAUUUACAACUAAUGUUAAUAAAACGAAUUACCCUGAGCAUGCAUACAAAUGUUUGCGGCACCAAGGCAAUGUACAUGUCCAAUAUUUUUUCUCUCUUUUCUUUUAAUAAAAGAUAAAAAGAAAGAUGCUUUUGCAACGACUACAAAAAGAUGCUUCUGCGAACGCUCUUAAGAUCUCGUGGUCGUGGAGGUCCAUUGAUUUUAACGAUAGUUAAAUAGUUCUUUCUUUUAUUAUGCAUAACCGCUUCACUUACGUAUUCUAUUUCCCUUUUUCAUCAUAUAUUUGUAUACAUAGCAUCUCUUUCACACUCACUAAGCCUUCAAAGUUGUAUCCUUAACAACUUUGCUACUUUGUUCACAAGUUUCCAUAAACAAACACUUGAAUUUCACAUCUUCUUAUAUCACUUAAUUUUUUUUCAUGGUCUCUAAAUUUUAAGUGGAGCACAAUGGAAAAGGUAUAGGAAUAUAAUUAAAGACGAAGACACGUUGGCUAGAUAAAUAAGCUCAUCCAACUACAAGGGAUAGUUAAUGGUUAGACUGGGUAUCAAAGUACAAUAUAGAAGUUGUGGGCGAAUUGGAGAUAUGUUGAAAGAAGUUAAAGCUAUAAGUAUAAUGCUGGUGGUCCAGUUUAUUUUCGCAGGAAUGUACAUUUUGUUUAAGCUAACGGUCGAUGAUGGUACAAAUCUCAGAAUCCUCGUGGCUUAUCGUCUCUCCUUCGCCACCAUUUCCAUGCUUCCCCUCGCCCUCAUCUUCCAGAGGUUUCCUUUUUGUUACAUAUUGUAUAUAAUUGUUAUUUUUGCAUUAUAUUAAACCAUAUAUUCUUAUAUAUGCCAAACCGGAUUUAAAUACACUUUGGGUUACAUAUUCGCAUCACGACAGUUCUUCAAAUUUUAGGGGUGAUAGACAAAUUAAAAAGAUUUUAGUUCAAAAAUAAUAAUAAUUUUCGGAGGCUAUAUUAUGUAAAUUAUCUCUUAAAAUUUGGUGUUUAUAGUGAACAAUGUUUUAUUUGCUCAUUUGACCAUGACCGGCUCUGAUUUGAAUGACCAUGUUGGAAUCUGGCGUCCAACAGAUCUACUACAUUAAGUCAUACAUUUGUGUGUGUGUGUUCAUAUUCAAUAAAUUAAAUACUCUGGUGUUAUUUCAAUCAUUUUUUUUGUUUUUGGACUCUAUGUGAUCAGGGAUAAGCGGCCAGAAUUUACAUGGAGACUGCUCUUUCUAGCCUUUCUUUCGGGGAUGCUUGGGUACUUAGAACUUAGUACAGUAAUUUCAUUUGAACUGUUACUGACAAUCAUAAACUAUUAUAAAUAUAUACAUGGAAUUUUAUAGAUGAUGUGAUUCAUGUAUUUGACUUCUUUACAGAGCGGCGAUACCAAAUUUUCUCUAUUUGCCAGGACUUGCUCUUACAUCAGCUACCUUUUCGACUGCGGCCAGCAUCCUUGGUCCGUUGAUCACCUUGGUAUUGUCAGUCGCUUUUAGGUAAGGCACCGCACAUCCAAUGCUAAACAAUAACCUUUUGGAAAAGUAUGAUAUAUUCAUUUGGUUCCCAAAAUUAUACUCUCUCCUUUUCAAAUAUCUGAAAUUUUAGAAUUUUUUCUGUUAAAAAUUAGAUGAAGUUUUCAGUUUUCAAUGUAAAACUUUUUUAAAUUGUACAAUAUUUAUUGGUAUCUAAUAAAAAAUGGAAGGAGUAUAUUUUAGUUUUUUUUCGUGUUAGAAUGGAACUUCUUAAAACUAAGAGAAUAUGAAUCAAGGGGUUCAUCUGCAAACUUGGCCUGUCGAGAAAUGAAAUGAAAAGGCUAACUAAUGAUUAAUUCUCAUUUAACAGGAUAGAGACUCUUCGGCUGGGAACGAACGAAGGGAGGGCUAAGCUUGUGGGGACGUUGCUUGGUGCCGGUGGGGCUCUCGUAUUUGUAUUCUAUAAAGGUGUUGAGAUUCAUAUCUGGUCAACACACGUUGACUUACUUAAGAACUCGAACGCUGGUCAAUCUUCUGGCCAAGCCACUGAGAACCACCACAUCUCAAUUCCAGGAGUUCUUAUGGUUUUUGGAUGUAACGUUUCCUUCUCACUUUGGUUAAUAUUGCAGGUAAGUGCUGCUUUUUCAUAUACCAAACGAUUAUCUUAAAACAAGAAAAAGAAAUCUAACGUAUUCGACAUGUUUUAUGUGUGAUUGUGUUUCAAAUCUGAAUAGAAAAUUACCAUAUUACUUCCUAGACAUUUAAUUUAUAUUAAUAACUACAACUAAAUACAUAUUCUUUGUGAAGAAUACACAUGUAUUUUUAUGUACCCAUUAAUAUAUAUAUAUAUAUAUAUAUAUAUAUAUAUAUAUAUAUACAAUAUAUAAUUUAAUAUGUUGAAAAAGAACCUCUGUAUAUUGGUCAAGAAUUUUCUUUCAUGUUUUUGGCGUUGAUAUGAUGUUUCAAGAGACGUAAAUUUUUUUCUUUACAGGCAAAAAUAGGCGAUCAACUUGGAGGAAGUUAUUGGAACGUAAGUCUGAUGAAUGCGAUGGGAAGUUUGGUUUGCAUGAUUGUUGCUCUCUGUUCAGAACGUAACUGGAAACAAUGGCGAUUAGGAUGGAACAUCAGCCUUCUUGCUACGGUUUAUUCGGUAUAAAACAAUCUACCCAAUGAUUAAGGAUCAUUUAAGACGUGUUUGUGUAUACUUGAUACACGUUUUUAAUUGAAUAUCUUGUCCGUGACUUGUAGGGAGUCGUGGUCUCAGGAAUGGUCAUACCUCUUAUUGCUUGGUGCAUUAAAACAAAAGGACCGUUAUAUGUUACGAUGUUUAGCCCUAUAAGGCUUGUGAUCGUAGCCCUCGCCGGAUCAUUUGCUUUAGAGGAAACGCUUCAUUUGGGAAGGUACACCCAAAUCAUGCAUGUGUUUCAUCAAACUAAUGUUUUGUGUAUGAUAUAUAUAGUAUGUAAAUUUCAUUCUCUUUUUAUUUUGUGGAACGUACAGUAUAAUUGGUGCAAUGAUAAUGGUGGGAGGUGUAUACCUAGUUAUAUGGUGUAAAAUGAAGGAAGCGAAGAGUGCCUCUGCUACAUUGGACCACAUUGAAACAAACAAGAAUAUCAAAGAAGUGAACCUUGGCAAUCUCUCAGCAAUAAAUAAUAGAGAUGUCCCGUGAACCAACCAUAUAGCUACAUCAUCAAAUAAAGUCCGUAGAAAUGGAAUAUAUAUGGACUACUAGAUGGAGAAUUUGGACAAUGUCUUUGAUUUUUCACCCUGACUUCAAUAUUAAAACACUAUCUAUAACUUGCUACUUAUAUCUCUUAAAAAGCUAUGUUCUAUGUUAUAUCGUGAAAAUUUCUGUCAACUAAUUCAAAUUGCUCAUGAUACAAAUAGAGUCCUAAGUGUGUAGCUAUUUUUAAUCGGCUUAAAUUUAAGAGCAUCAUUAACGAUAAAACUUUGUAGAACCUUCUUUCACAUGUAUUAUAUUGAUAUACUCCUAUAUAACCUUUUUUAUUAAACUUUAAAACAAAAAGAACUUAACCAAUGAAACUGGAAAAGAACAAAUGAAAAGAGAGUAUCUCGAAAGUGGUUGAAAAUCUCUCGCUCAAAAAACAUUUCUUGUGAUUUUCUGUCUUUCUCAUUUUAUGAUUACUUUACCUGUUUGCCCGUUUUUCUUCUCUUUUAUAGAAGACUUCCGACUUCUUUCAAUGAAUAUGUAGCUUUUGCUAUUUGUUCAUCUUGUCAUUUGGGAGUCGUCAGAUAAAAGCAAGGUCUUCUCUGAAUUUUCCUUAGAGACCAGUUCAAUUCGGUUCAUGGCAUGGCUCCUAUAGUGGAAUUGGAUUAGUGUGGUUUAGAGCCUUAAUAAGAGUGUCAUGUCUGGUCCUUCAAUAAUUUCAACUGUGGAUGUUGACGUUCCUUUAUGUCUUUUUAUCAUGUUUGGUUCUAAAUUGUAUUGUUAAGUUCUUAGCUUGUAUAUUUGUUUAUGGUUUUGGGGACUUGCAGUUCAUCCGCCGACUUAAUCUCUAGGGAAGUUUUUUAUUCGGAUAGAUGUUUAUGGGGAUUGUGUGUGUUCGAUGGCUUUGUCAUUCUACCUUGUAAUGUUGUUAUGAUCAAUGAAAUUUACCAAAGAAAAAAUGAUUACUUUCCAUCUGUAGUAAAGUUCUCUAAUGUAAUUGUCAAAAAGUCUAGUUAUAAAAAAAUUAUCAUUGUCUUCUUCCUAUGAUAGUUCAAAAUUUCAGGUUUACGACUAUGAUUACUUUCCAACAUGUAGUAAAGUUCUCUAAUGUUAUUAUGACUAUGAUUACUCAAGUUAUGUGACACGUCAAUCCAUUGGCAUCUUAAUAGUCUAGUUAUAAAAGAGUUAAGAUCAAAGGAGACUAAAAAAAAUUUUCAUGGUAACACGUAUGGAAGAUAGCAUAAACGUAAAUGAUUUACCUUUUAAAGCUUACUCUUUUAAUUUGCUUCUGCUUUAAUAACAAGGGGAUGUUGGAAUAUUUUUUAGGGGGUUCUCUCUCUUCUCUCUCUAAAAAUCUUUCAGAGAGAGAACUGUUUGUGGAUCAAGUCGCCGGUUCUUUUAACGGCAGUAUCAUUCCCAGGUUCGGGAUCUGUUUCCGGUAUAAGUGGUCUUGUUGACACUUUAUACUCGGAUUUUGUCUCCGGCGAAGCUCCAUCUCGUUGGAGUUGCGGCCGGCUUUUGACUCUGGCGACGUCGACUUGCUUUCCGGUGGCGUCGGCCGGCUUCUUCUCCGGUUCUUUUCGGAGUUUGUUCUUUUGUUUAGAUCCUCUCCUCUCUCUCCUCUUGUUAAAGUUUCAGCCCUCUUUUGAUUUUGGAUCCAAUUGCUUCAUCCUUUCCUUGUUAAGGCUUAUCCAUCUUCAUGCUUCUUCUUAUCUUUAAAGAUGGCUUGUUUUAGAUGCAGGAUAAUUGGAUCUUUGAGAUCGAAUGGUUGCGGUUGAUUUUUAUUUCGUAGGUGAGGAUUCAAGUUACGGUGUAGACGGUUAGUCUACUUGCUCUGAUUCGAAAUAGUGUUGUUGACGACGGUUCUUAUUGUUGCUCCUGUUCCGGUAAGCUCCGGUGGACGGCGAUUUGUUUUCCGGUCACGACUCUCAAGUCGGUGUAGUUUGGUGACGUCUCAUCUCCUUCCGCCAUAUGUCCUGCUGUUGCUCAGAGUCUGACGCGUGGUUGUGUUUUGCUGGAGUUAGUCACCGCUCAUCUUUGGGCUUUUAUGUUUGGGCCAAUAGUUUGGACCGUUUAUGGCGUUCUCGUGUUGCUGUCCUGCUUGUUGGGCCAUUCUCUUUAUGUUUAUGUUUUAACCAUUUUCGUUUGGGCCUUGUUGUAAAAUUUGUUCUUGUUCAAUAAAUUUCCGGUUGACAAAAAAAAAAUAAGGGGAUGUUGGAAAGCGGAUCAAAUUUACUUUCCUGCAAACUAGAAAUUCUUUUAGUAAAAAAUACGAUUCACAUAGUCUGCA